UACAGAGGGUGCGAGCGUUGUUCGGAAUUACUGGGCGUAAAGCGCGCGCAGGCGGCCCUUUAAGUCUGCCGGUCAAAUGCCGGGGCUCAACCCCGAGCUCGCCGGAGAUACUGGAGGGCUGGAGACACGUAGAGGCAAGCGGAAUUCCGGGUGUAGCGGUGGAAUGCGUAGAGAUCCGGAAGAACACCGGAGGCGAAGGCGGCUUGCUGGGCGUGAUCUGACGCUGAGGCGCGAAAGCUAGGGUAGCAAACGGG
rnacentral:rRNA from 1 species